GCGAACGCUGGCGGCAGGCCUAACACCUGCAAGUCGAACGAACCUUUCGGGGUUAGUGGCGGACGGGUGAGUAACACGUGGGAACGUGCCUUUAGGUUCGGAAUAACUCAGGGAAACUUGUGCUAAUACCGAAUGUGCCCUUCGGGGGAAAGAUUUAUCGCCUUUAGAGCGGCCCGCGUCUGAUUAGCUAGUUGGUUGAGGUAAUGGCUCACCAAGGCGACGAUCAGUAGCUGGUCUGAGAGGAUGAUCAGCCACAUUGGGGCUGAGACACGGCCCAAACUCCUACGGGAGGCAGCAGUGGGGAAUCUUGCGCAAUGGGCGAAAGCCUGACGCAGCCAUGCCGCGUGAAUGAUGAAGGUCUUAGGAUUGUAAAAUUCUUUCACCGGGGACGAUAAUGACGGUACCCGGAGAAGAAGCCCCGGCUAACUUCGUG
rnacentral:rRNA from 1 species